rnacentral:rRNA from 1 species
AUACGGAGGAUCCAAGCGUUAUCCGGAUUUAUUGGGUUUAAAGGGUGCGCAGGCGGCCUUAUAAGUCAGUGGUGAAAUCUCCCGGCUCAACCGGGAAACUGCCAUUGAUACUGUAGGGCUAGAAUACAGACGAGGUAGGCGGAAUGUAGCAUGUAGCGGUGAAAUGCUUAGAUAUGCUACAGAACACCGAUCGCGAAGGCAGCUUACCAGACUGUAAUUGACGCUAAGGCACGAAAGCGUGGGGAGCGAACAGGAUUAGAUACCCCAGUAGUCC